rnacentral:rRNA from 1 species
AGGGAUAGCCCAGAGAAAUUUGGAUUAAUACCUCAUAGUAUUAUAGAAUGGCAUCAUUUUAUAAUUAAAGUCACAACGGUGAAAGAUGAGCAUGCGUCCCAUUAGCUAGUUGGUAUGGUAACGGCAUACCAAGGCAACGAUGGGUAGGGGUCCUGAGAGGGAGAUCCCCCACACUGGUACUGAGACACGGACCAGACUCCUACGGGAGGCAGCAGUGAGGAAUAUUGGUCAAUGGGCGCAAGCCUGAACCAGCCAUGCCGCGUGCAGGAUGACGGUCCUAUGGAUUGUAAACUGCUUUUGCACAGGAAGAAACAACGCUACGUGUAGCGUCUUGACGGUACUGUGAGAAUAAGGAUCGGCUAACUCCGUGCCAGCAGCCGCGGUAAUACGGAGGAUCCAAGCGUUAUCCGGUAUCAUUGGGUUUAAAGGGUCCGUAGGCGGUUUAGUAAGUCAGUGGUGAAAGCCCAUCGCUCAACGGUGGAACGGCCAUUGAUACUGCUAGACUUGAAUUAUUAGGAAGUAACUAGAAUAUGUAGUGUAGCGGUGAAAUGCUUAGAGAUUACAUGGAAUACCAAUUGCGAAGGCAGGUUACUACUAAUGGAUUGACGCUGAUGGACGAAAGCGUGGGUAGCGAACAGGAUUAGAUACCCUGGUAGUCCACGCCGUAAACGAUGGAUACUAGCUGUUGGGGGCAACUUCAGUGGCUAAGCGAAAGUGAUAAGUAUCCCACCUGG